GACGAACGCUGGCGGCGUGCUUAACACAUGCAAGUCGAACGGUGAAGCGAGUGCUUGCACUCGUGGAUCAGUGGCGAACGGGUGAGUAACACGUGAGUAACCUGCCCAUCACUCUGGGAUAAGCACUGGAAACGGUGUCUAAUACUGGAUACGACCAACCCUUGCAUGGGGUGUUGGUGGAAAGAUUUAUCGGUGAUGGAUGGACUCGCGGCCUAUCAGCUUGUUGGCGGGGUAAUGGCCCACCAAGGCGACGACGGGUAGCCGGCCUGAGAGGGUGACCGGCCACACUGGGACUGAGACACGGCCCAGACUCCUACGGGAGGCAGCAGUGGGGAAUAUUGCACAAUGGGCGGAAGCCUGAUGCAGCGACGCCGCGUGAGGGAUGACGGCCUUCGGGUUGUAAACCUCUUUCAGCAGGGAAGAAGCGAAAGUGACGGUACCUGCAGAAGAAGCACCGGCUAACUACGUG
rnacentral:rRNA from 1 species